ACCCAGAUGACGACUUCCAAAUAGGACGAAAUGCGCAUCCUAGAU
rnacentral:hammerhead_ribozyme from 1 species